GCUCCUUGUUCCGGUCUGCCGCGGGGGCGCUCAACAUCGCGUCCACGGACGAAGACACGCGGCUGCACGGGCCGAACAGUUUCCGGAACCUCUCCAGGUCAGAAACAUCUGGAAGAGGGCUGAAACGGCAGGAAGGGGUGAAGGGAUGAUGAAGGAUGUAGGAAGGAUGUAAUGCUCUGCAGCGGCAUUCUGGCAAGCUUAUGGAGCACCUUCCUGCAAGGCUGCGUCCUGGAAUACUACUUCCUGCAAGGCUACUGAAACCUUAACUUUAAUAUCCAAUGAAACCUUAGACUGAAAACACCA